UACGAAGGGGGCUAGCGUUGUUCGGAAUUACUGGGCGUAAAGCGCGCGCAGGCGGUCCUUUAAGUCGGGGGUGAAAGCCCAGAGCUCAACUCUGGAACUGCCUUCGAAACUAGAGGACUUGGGUACGGGAGAGGUGAGUGGAAUUCCGAGUGUAGAGGUGAAAUUCGUAGAUAUUCGGAAGAACACCAGUGGCGAAGGCGGCUCACUGGCCCGUUACCGACGCUCAGGCGCGACAGCGUGGGGAGCAAACGGG
rnacentral:rRNA from 1 species